UUUGAAACAAUUUUGUUAGAUUGUAGUGUCACACUGGCAUAUCAGUACGUUUUUUAAGAAACUUACCAACAUUGAAUUUUAGUGCAGCCAUGUUAACAAUGAAGAUAGAAGAAAAUAUACAACAUUCUCGGCAUAUAAUGCUUUAUUUCAAGAAAGGUAAAAACACAACAAAUGCAAAAAGAAAGAUUUGUGCAGUGUAUGGAGAGGGCUGUGACUGAUCAGAUGUGUCAUAAGUGGUUUGCAAAGUUUCUUGGUAUAUUUACGUAUUGAACAAAGAAUUCUUUGUUGUGCACUGUCUUAUGCAUUGGAAGAUGUUUAACAGCACUCCCAGCUUCUACCCACCAGAAGCCAAUAGCAGAAGAUAGCCGACAUACUCAAAAUAUCCAAAUCAAUAAAGUUACUGGUGAAAAUGAAAACCUUAUCCUUUAUUUUACAGAAAAAACUAAACAAACUCUGUGGCCAACCCAAUAUUACUAGUAGCUUUCAAAAAAAUGCAUUUAGUAAGCCCUUAAGACAAAUGCUCUAUGAGUUGUAAUUAUAACUGAGUUAAUUUUUUGAACAAAAGAUGUAGUCAUUUCCCACGAGCACAGAUAAUGGAGUUAAAUGAGAAAAUAAAAUUUGGUGUUUUGAAAAAAUGUUCAUUUCAUACCUAAUUUGGAGUUAAUCAUAUUUAAAAUGUCAAGUCUUAUUAUUAAGCUAAAAGACCUUCAUACAUUGGUAUAAAACUUGUUCUACUUUACAUUAUAUGAAAUAAUUUUUAAAGGGUAUCCUUAGUAGUAUUUUAACAUGUAGAUUGUUAGUACAUUU